CAGUAGCCGCGGGUAAUACGAAGGGGGCUAGCGUUGUUUGGAAUCACUGGGCGUAAAGCGCACGUAGGCGGAUACUUAAGUCAGGGGUGAAAUCCCGGGGCUCAACCUCGGAACUGCCUUUGAUACUGGGUAUCUUGAGUCCGGGAGAGGUUGGUGGAACUCCGAGUGUAGAGGUGAAAUUCGUAGAUAUUCGGAAGAACACCAGUGGCGAAGGCGGCCAACUGGCCCGGUACUGACGCUGAGGUGCGAAAGCGUGGGGAGCAAACAGGAUUAGAUACCCCUGUAGUCCCUGUCUCUUAUA
rnacentral:rRNA from 1 species